CCUCAGGUGUGGCCCUAAAAACAAAAACAAAAACAAAAAAACCCCAAAACUCUGCCUUUGAGCAAAUCAUUAGUGGUGGUCAGGCUACCAUUCCACAGAGGCCCCUGUCUGUGGGAGGGCACCAGGCUGCAGGCCAGGCAGUGGAGCCUGGACUGGGCCAGGUGGAGAGGCGAGGAGACCUCGGAGUGGUAGGCAUGGCUAGGCGGGCACAGGAAAGACCUGAGUCAGGCUUCUCAUAAUAAACUACACGUGAAUAAUUCAGAAGCCAACCGGGCCUCAUUGCAUUAAUGCCGCUGCCCUUACCGCCCCUUCUGUUCCUGCUGAGGGGAGGGGGUCAUUAACGUGCUUAAAGAGGGUAGCCUGAUAGAAGACCCCCUUCCCCGAGCCAGUGCUGCCCAGGCCAAUCCCAGGAGACCCUCUGGAUCCCGAUUCCCUCAGGCCCCACCAGUCAGAGGGGCCUACUGGGCAGUGCUGUCCCAGCUAAGCUGUUCUCAAGACUCAGGGUGAGAGAAGACAGGUGGCCAGACCAGGACCAGAAUAGGGGACGAAGGGACAAGCCCUGUGGGAAACGGAGCUGUGGUAGUGCUCAAUGGGAGAAUGCAGGCGCCAGGCCCUGAGCAAAGUGGAGAAGGCAGGCAGGCCCCUGUGCACAGAGCCCAGGCGUUGCUUUGUCCAGGCGGGAUUUUCCUUGCGAUGAGAGUGAAGCUCCAGGGAACUUUUCACCCACUGUGGAUGGCUCUGCCUCCAGCCUCUCUCAGACUUGAAUCCAGCGCCAGCCCCAGCCACUGGUUUAGGCCUAGGUCCUCACCCUAGCCCAGGGCAUAAGGGAUCCCCAGACCACUGGGCCUGAGAGGACAGAAACUCCUAAGUGCAUACCAUCCCGCAGCCUUAUUUCGAUUGAGCAGAACCAGCUUCCUUUGGCUUUUCCACUUCCCACAUGUCCCUGGGCUCCUGGUCUUGAGGGAUCACCACUCAUCCGGCGGCUGAAUUCUUCCAGCUCUUCCCCAGACCCCUUCGCUUCCUUUAAGUCCACCCCGGCUGCUCCUCCUGCUCCUACAUGGUGAACCUUGGCCCUGACCCUCGCACCCGGUCCUCUGGCUCUCCUGGGGCCGGCGCGAACAAGGAUCCCAGCCUGGUCUCCGCCGGUGUCGCUGGCAGCCAGACGAGGAGGCUCGCGGGAGGCAGCUCGCGUCCCUCCUUCCCUGCCCCGCCCUCCCUCUCUCUGAAUCUUAGUCUUCUGCCGCUGCCUCCUCUUCCUUUUCCCUCCACCUCUACGCAUUUGUUUUUCUUCGUUUGGUGCGGUCCGUCAGUGGAGGCCUGAACUUACUCUGCUCGUCCUGAAGCCUCAGCUGGGCCUCCGGGUUCGAGGCCAAAUUUCCAACGGCUUCCGCAGCAGGCGGCUCGGGUGUCUUUGCAGAGGCAGGUGAGACGGGCUGAUGGCACCUUCACCUCAUACGGCUGCAUCGCCAGCCGGCUGUGUCAUCUCGGGUAAGUCUCUUAACCUCUGAGCCUUGACAGGGCACAAGUCAAGAGAUUUAGGGAGAUGGGAGACUAAGGCUUUUGAUUCGUUUGGGGAAAGAGGUUGCCUGUUUGGGGGCCUAAGGAGGAAGAAUACUAGGUCUGAAAUGAGCAUUUACUUUAACGAAUAUUUCGAGAGCAGCUGGGAGCUGCUUUUUAUUUUUCUUUUUUUACAGCUGAUGUAAUGCCAGGCGUUAGAAAUUUCUCCGAUCCUCACCACAUCUCGGUUUUACCGAAGAGGAAACUGAGGUUAAGAUGGCGUCCUGCUGGUCAACGCCACAGGUGGGAUUCGAACCUAGAUUCCGUUCCCAGGAGCUCGUGAGUUUAAGCCACGGCCGUCUCGCCCUGCCUGGUGAAUGGAGCCCUCGCAGGGCCGGCCGCGACCUGAGCGGGGAGGGAUUGCGCUGAAUCGACGAGCGUUCCCUCUCUCUCUGUGCUGGGAAAUCUUUGAAAUUCCUGUUUUCAGGUAAACGAUUUUGGCGGCUCCCAGGGAAGGGUGGAAACGGGAGCUGGAGAGCCACUUCCGGCUCGUUAGGCGGCGGGGCGGGGAGGGCAACUCUUCCUCGAGCGCGGGGAGGUGGCGGUAGCAGAGCGAGGUGGAAGCCGCUGCUCCCCGAUUUUUCCUCUUUCGAGUUCACCCGUCGGCUCCGUCUGUUCUGUGGGAGCCACGUCUUCGGAAGUCCUGCUCCGAGAGGGAGGAGCGCGGGGCAGCCGGCGCACGGCCCGGCCCGGGGCAGAGGUAUGACCGGGCGAUCGCUCCGCUUUUUCACCGUCUCCGGGCGUCUCUCUGAGGGGACCACACCCUGCUUGGGAUCAGGACAGAUGAAGGAUGGAAGGGUGGAGCCUGUUCUCCCGUCACCCGUCUUCCCCUAAUUUUCAAAGCUGCUUGACUCCAUAGAUGUCUGGAAGCAAUUGCAGUUGGAAACACUGGCUUGGCUCCUGUUCCAAGGCUGGAGGCUCAGUUAUGAAGCAAUUGAUAUGGAAAUUCUGGGCUCCUGUGUGCCCAAGCCCGUGCCAGUCACCAAGCCAAGAACAAGACAGUAUCCAGGAUGGCAGGGAGGCUAAAUUCUCUCCAUGCCAGGGAAUAUUUCCUGACCAAAGGAUCUGUCUAGGUUAUGGGGGAGCCACCAUGUUCCCCAAGCAGUGUGCUUGCUUAAUGGUGAACCACAGAUGCUACUCCUGCUCACAAACCCACGGGCUUGAGGGAAGACAGGCCUAGGACACAGGUGGUACAGGCCAUGAUGUGGGAGCCUGGAAGAGGACAGCUGACCCAGAGCCUUUCCAGGGAACAGGGGGGAACCUGGCCACAGCCCUGAGGCAGGCAGUCCAGCUCCCAGUCCACCUAUGAGGGAUCCAAGCGCUGAAAAGAGGCAGACAUUCUCUCAGAUGGAGACAACCACUCUUCUCUUAUACUCUAGUCUCUGGAAGUGAAACCCCAGAUCUCAGCCCCUACUGAGCAGUGCAGGCUCUUCCCCAGAGCUACCCAGCUUCCAAGUAGCCAGCGGGAGGUACGUUACUAGAUGAUGUUUUGGGGAUCCCACCCCCACCCCACCCCCGCUCCCGCUCUCGGGACACAGUCCUGGCCACCUUUAAUAGUUUAUUUCAGCCUGUCCCCAUUCUAUGCCCUCCUCUCUCCCCCGCCUCAUCCCCAAAAGCUGACCUGGAGCUGGAUUCCCAA